UCAAUAAGCGGAGGAAAAGAAACUAACCAGGAUUCCCCUAGUAACGGCGAGUGAAGCGGGACGAGCUCAAAUUUGUAAUCUGGCGGCGUGCGGCCGUCCGAGUUGUAGUCUGGAGAAGUGUCUUCCGUGCCGGACCGUGCACAAGUCCCUUGGAACGGGGCGUCGCAGAGGGUGAGAAUCCCGUCUCUGACACGGACUGCCGGUGCCAUGUGAUGCGCUCUCGAAGAGUCGAGUUGUUUGGGAAUGCAGCUCAAAAUGGGUGGUAAAUUCCAUCUAAAGCUAAAUAUUGGCGAAAGACCGAUAGCGAACAAGUACCGUGAGGGAAAGAUGAAAAGCACUUUGGAAAGAGAGUCAAACAGUACGUGAAAUUGUUGAAAGGGAAACGYUUGAAGUCAGUCGCGUCUGUCGAGACUCAGUCGGGCCUCCCAGCCCGGUGCACUUCUCGAUUUGACGGGCCAGCAUCGAUCUUUGAUCAUCGUCGGAGAAAGGCUCUUGGGAACGUGGCACCCUUUGGGUGUGUUAUAGCCCUCUGCCUUAUGCGACGGUGGGGAUCGAGGGCCGCAGCGUGCCCCCACUGGAAGGGCCGGGUCCGCCCACGUAACGCGCUUAGAUGCU
rnacentral:rRNA from 1 species